rnacentral:rRNA from 1 species
GGCGUGCCUAAUACAUGCAAGUCGAGCGAGAAUCUUAGAUUUGAAUCUUCGGAGGAAAAUGUAAGAGGAAAGCGGCGGACGGGUGAGUAACGCGUAGGCAACCUGCCCUUAGCAGAGGGAUAGCCAUUGGAAACGAUGAUUAAAACCUCAUAAAACUGUGAUAACACAUGUUAAUGCAGUCAAAGAUUUAUCGGCUAAGGAUGGGCCUGCGUCUGAUUAACUAGUUGGUGAGGUAACGGCUCACCAAGGUGACGAUCAGUAGCCGGACUGAGAGGUUGAACGGCCACAUUGGGACUGAGAUACGGCCCAGACUCCUACGGGAGGCAGCAGUGGGGAAUAUUGGGCAAUGGGCGAAAGCCUGACCCAGCAACGCCGCGUGAAGGAAGAAGGUCUUCGGAUUGUAAACUUCUUUUAUGAGGGACGAAGGACGUGACGGUACCUCAUGAAUAAGCCACGGCUAACUACGUGCCAGCAGCCGCGGUAAUACGUAGGUGGCGAGCGUUAUCCGGAUUUACUGGGUGUAAAGGGCGCGUAGGCGGGGAAGCAAGUCAGGUGUGAAAUCUAUGGGCUUAACCCAUAAACUUGCACUUGAAACUGUUUUUCUUGAGUGCUGGAGAGGUAGACGGAAUUCCUUGUGUAGCGGUGAAAUGCGUAGAUAUAAGGAAGAACACCAGUGGCGAAGGCGGUCUACUGGACAGUAACUGACGCUGAGGCGCGAAAGCGUGGGGAGCAAACAGGAUUAGAUACCCUGGUAGUCCACGCUGUAAACGAUGAAUACUAGGUGUGGGGGGACUGACCCCCUCCGUGCCGCAGUUAACACAAUAAGUAUUCCACCUGGGGAGUACGGCCGCAAGGUUGAAACUCAAAGGAAUUGACGGGGGCCCGCACAAGCAGUGGAGCAUGUGGUUUAAUUCGAAGCAACGCGAAGAACCUUACCAGACCUUGACAUCCCUCUGAAUACAGCGUAAUGGCUGUAGGCCUUCGGGACAGAGGAGACAGGUGGUGCAUGGUUGUCGUCAGCUCGUGUCGUGAGAUGUUGGGUCAAGUCCCGCAACGAGCGCAACCCUUGUCCAUAGUAGCCAGCAGUAAGAUGGGCACUCUAGGGAGACUGCCAGGGAUAACCUGGAGGAAGGUGGGGAUGACGUCAAAUCAUCAUGCCCCUUAUGACUUGGGCUACACACGUGCUACAAUGGCGUAAACAAAGUGAAGCGAAGUCGUGAGGCCAAGCAAAUCACAAAAAUAACGUCUCAGUUCGGAUUGUAGUCUGCAACUCGACUACAUGAAGCUGGAAUCGCUAGUAAUCGCAGAUCAGAAUGCUGCGGUGAAUACGUUCCCGGGUCUUG